GGCCUUUUUACCAUGUUCACAUGCAAAAUUGAUAUUUUUGGUAGAAUGUCAAAAUAAAGCUCUAGCUGUUACUCUUUGAGAAUCAGAUGCACGUAAAUUUUUGUGUGAAAGAUAUUUAUGAAAUCUGAAUGAAAUUAGGCCCCAUAGCUUUUAAUGAUUCCACACUUACAGUACUUGUCCAAUGUCUUGCCCAAUUUUUUCAUUGUCAAAACUUUUUCUGAAGAAGCUGCUGUGUUAUUACAAUUAAUAGUGGCAUGUAUGAUACUAAACAUUUGGAUUGACAUUGUUGACCUUACAGAGAAAAAAAUUAUUGGAUUAACUGAAUCAACAGAGAUAUCUCAACUGAGUGUGUUUACACAUUACUGAUAUAGUAUAUUUGUACGUGUAUUUAUGCAUUGAUAAUCUUUGUGCGUGUAUUUAUGCAUUGAUAAUCUUUGUGCACUUAUGUGGAUGCAGCAAUCAAAUAAACGUUUCUAUGCUGAUAUAUUUUGCUCAGAAUCAAAAUCUAUUUUGUUAUUUAUCUGUAUUACUUAUAUGUAUUUACAUUGUAUAACAAUAUUUUACACUUUUCCAAUGAUUUACUGUAGUAUUAGAUCUGUUGAAAUAAAGAGAAAUAUUAUA
rnacentral:sRNA from 1 species